UAAUAGCGUAUAUUAAAGUUGUUGCAGUUAAAAAGCUCGUAGUCGGAUCUUGGGGUCGGAGUGGCUGUCGGCCUAGUGUCGGACGGUCAAGUCGGCUCUUUCUUUCUGUUGCCUGCGUCACCUUUAACUAGGGGGCGUGAUUGGUGCAGAUCGUUUACUUUGAAAAAAUUAGAGUGUUCAAAGCAGGCUUUCGCUUGAAUACAUUAGCAUGGAAUAAUGGAAUAGGACUGCGGUUCUAUUUUGUUGGUUUCUAGGACCGAAGUAAUGAUUAAUAGGGAUAGUUGGGGCCGUUUAUAUUCCGUUGUCAGAGGUGAAAUUCUUGGAUUUACGGAAGAUAAACUUCUGCGAAAGCAUUCGGCAAGGAUGUUUNCAUUGA
rnacentral:rRNA from 1 species